UUGCUCAGUCGGUUAGAGUGCUGGUCUGUCACGCCAGAAGUCGCGGGUUCGAACUCUAU
rnacentral:tRNA from 1 species